rnacentral:rRNA from 1 species
UACAGAGGGUGCGAGCGUUGUCCGGAAUUACUGGGCGUAAAGCGUGCGCAGGCGGUUUUGUAAGCCAGAUGUGAAAGCCCCGGGCUUAACCUGGGAAUGGCAUUUGGGACUGCAAGGCUUGAGUGCGGCAGAGGAGACUGGAAUUCCUGGUGUAGCAGUGAAAUGCGUAGAUAUCAGGAGGAAUACCGAUGGCGAAGGCAGGUCUCUGGGCUGACACUGACGCUCAUGCACGAAAGCGUGGGGAGCAAACAGG